GCAUAAACCCCCCACUAGGCCCACGCCCUUAUCCCCUCCAUCUUCACCCAUCAUAGUUAUACUGAUUCUCUCUCCUCUAAUACAAACAAAUCAAUGGGUUCUUUCUCUCCUAAAUAUCUAUACUCCUCUUUUCUACUCCUUAUAACAUAAACUACUUAAUUAAACCCCUAAUUUGCAUAUUUUUAGUCAAUCAUCAACAACAAGCAUUAAGAAUCACAUGAAGGUUUGACAUGACAUGAAUACAUCUUUCUCUCUCUCCUCCUCCUACUUUCUUUCUUUUUUAUUUUUGAAUUUUCAUCUUUUAUUUUUUGCUUUGUAAGUAUGGAGAUUGUGAUGUUAUGCUCAAUGUUUGAUGUAAUUUUUAUAUUUACUAAAUCAAAGUUACGGAUUUAGUUUUUCUGCUCAUUUAAUCAAAUGAGCAAAUUUGUUUGCUCAUUUGAGUUUUUUUUUUUUUUUGCUCAUUAACACAAAUGAGCAAAUAUAUUUUACUCAUUUAUUUGAAAUGAGAAAAUAUAAUUUGCAUAUAUUUGCUCAUUUAUAUGAAAUGAGCAAAUUUCCCAACCUCGUCUCCCUUUUGAAUUUUGUAUUACUAAACACCAUGAACAAGAGCAAUAACAUAUUUAAUCACCCCCAAUUACAAAGUUUAUGAAAAAAAUAUUUUUCUUAUUUUCACUCUCCACAUAUCCAAAUGAAAAAUACCCAGAUAAGAUUAUCCAUUAAAAUUGAAAAAAAUGUCAGAAAAAUUGAGCAAGGGAAGACAACAAUGAUUGCAGGCUCAAUGACUUGUGGCAUAUAAUUGUGCGCCAUGGGUAGUUGGCCCAGUCAAAGCACAAGAUUUUAUGGAAUUGAGAAUCUAAAUGCACUUCAUUCAGCUCCCUCCUGUUAAAAGAAGAGGAGAGUUAUGAGGAUGUUGAAGAUGGAGGUGAGAGUAAAGGGGGUUGGUAUUAUUGGAAUCUGAUUAACAUCAUAAAUGAGAAAGAACAUUAGGGAAGUAGGAGAGAGAAAAAUGUGGUUAGAUUUUGAAUCGGUGGUGGUCGGUUAGCAUUGGUUUGUCAUUUGUCGUGAAUCGGUGAUUUGGUUUUUUUUCAUAAUUAUCUUAAUCAGGGAUGAUAGCGCCGUGUAUGAAAAUAAGCUGAAUUGUGAGUCGUGAGAUUAAGUAAUUUGUACGAUUGAGAUUCUUUCUCAUUCUUCUCAUUAUAAGGUGUCUUCUCAUUUGAGUGUAAAUAUAUAUAUAUAUAUCAUGAGAAGUUGAGAACCCCUCUUUUAAUGAGAACUCUCGUCCUCAAUCUUGGAUAUUGAUCUACGGCCAAUAUUAACGCUAAUUAAAACUCAUGAACUUAAAUAUCUAAAGUAUAAUAAAAAAAAGUAACCGAUCAAUUACAACAGCCCUUAUGUUUCUUUAUCACGUUGUUCUUCAAAUCUACCAAUCAUCUUGAUAAUCAUCAUAUUAGGAAAUUGCAGUACAAUACUCGCCAACCAGUUUCUACCGUCGUUUCCUUGUUAUCGUCAUAUACAGUGGAUAAGAUCAUUGAUGGAGCAAUCAACUGCAACAAACCAUUGCUUACCCGAAGGUUAUAAUAUGGAUGAGAUUCAACAAGAAGAAGACGAAUAUGAGCUUAAUCGUCACCAAUUGCAAUCUGAAAAUGAAGAGCGCGUUGAACGUGAAGGAGGAGAAAAUGAGACGCCUAACAAAUGCAGAAGCCCUAUGAAUAUAAUUAAAGAGUGGCUUCCUGUAUGUGAAGAUGAUUUGAAACCAAAAGAAGGUAUGGAGUUUGACAACCUAGAGGAAUGUGAGAAAUUCUACAAAAAAUAUGAUCAUCAAGUCGGUUUUAGUGUCCGUAAAUCAUCUACCAAAAGAGAUAAAAAAAAUCUGGAUUGUUGAAGUAUAAAACUUGUGUUUGUGAAAAAGAGGGUUUUAGAGAAGCUAAAUACGCAGGCAAGCAAAAAGUACGAAAUGUGAAAUUGAGUAGGGAAGGGUGUGAGGCUCUUGUUGGUUUUAAACGAACAUCGGAGGGUAAAUAUGUAGUGUACAAAUUUCAUGAAGGUCAUACCCAUUUACUUGCAACCCCUAGAAAGCGUCACAUGCUAAAAUCAAAUAGGGGAAUUACUAAUGUCCAUAGAUGCUUGUAUAAGGCAUUUGCUCGUGCCAAUGUUGGUGGUAGUAGGGCGCAUCGUUACAUAAAGGAACAAGUGGGUGGGUAUCAAAAUGUUGGAUGUAGUAAGCAAGAUUUGAAAAACUUCCAAAGAGAUUUGAGCCUUCAUAUUAAAGAUUAUGAUGUUGACAUGUUUAUUGAGAAUUUCAAGAGAAAACAAAAAAUCGAUCCUUCAUUUUAUUUUGCAUAUGACUAUAUGAGAUAAACAAGGCCACACGCCAAUUGAGACAUGUAUUUUGGGUAGAUGGCAUUUCUAGAAAGAAUUAUGCAUUAUAUGGAGAUGUUGUGUCAUUUGAUACUACUUAUGACACUAACAGAUAUAAGAUGAUCUUUGCUCCAUUUACUGGUCUUGAUAACCACUGACUUUGUAUUACGUUUGGAGCAGCAUUUUUGGGGGAUGAGAAAGCUGAAUCAUUUUCUUAGUUGUUUGAAAAGUUCUUAGAUGCACUGGACGGUCACAAACAUGUUUGCAUCAUCACUGAUCAAGAUCCUGCAGUGAAAGUAGCCAUCAAAAAUGUUUUUGACACGUCUACUCAUAGGUUUUGCAUAUGGCAUAUAAUGAGAAAACUUUCAGAAAAGGUGGGAAGCACUUUGAGUAGUAACGAAGUUUUUAUGAACCAAUUUAAGUCUUGUGUGUAUAAUUCAGAGACAAAGGAGGAAUUUGAAUCAUCGUGGAAAUCAGUUGUCAAUGAAUUUAAGUUACAAACUAAUGAUUGGCUUUCUCAGAUGUUUUCGAUUAGGGACUUGUAGAUACCAGCUUAUUUCAGAGAUGUUUUCUUAGGAGUUGUGUUACGGACAACGUUGAGGUCUGAAAGUGAGAAUAGUUUUUUUUUUGUAGUUUCACAAAUCCGCAUUUGAGUCUAGUGGAGUUCUGGAUGAGAUUUGAGAGUGUUGUAGAGUCACAGAGACAUUCUCAAUCAAUGUCUGACAAUGAUAACUUUUCUUUAAUUCCUGAACUAAAAACAAAUAGGGAUUUGGAGAGACAUGCAAGUCAAGUCUACACUUUCACUAACUUUUACAAGUUUCAAGAGCAGUUGUGGAUUGCUUGUAUGGAUUGUGAAGUUGAGGACAAGAAAGAGACACAAGAGGGACUAGUUAUAACUAUAGCUAAUCAUGCUCGAAAAAAUGGGAAGAUGCGUGAGGUUGUGUAUAACCCUCUCAGUCAUGUGGCAUACUGUUCAUGCAAAAUGUUCCCAUGUGAGGGAAUUCCAUGCCGACAUAUAUUAUGCAUUCUGAAGGGAAAAGGUUUAUCUGAAGUUCCAGGUUACUAUAUAUUGAACAGAUGGACCAAGAUGGCAACAAGCAAGUCGAUUUUUAAUGUGUCUAGUAACCUUUUGGAAACUUGUUCCAAAAUAGAUAAUGAGGAUAAGCUGAUUACUAAUAAUUGGUUUGAAUUCUUAAACUGCAUGAAUUUGGCGGGAAGAGACCCUGAAAAACUAACUCUUAUCUCAAAUGAAUUUCAAAACGUAUCAAAAUUAUUAAAAGAGUUCAAGAGUAAUCCCACUGAGAGCAAGACACAAGAGUUGGAAUAUUUUACCAGAUCAAGUGUACCGAAAGAAGUUGAGAUUCUUCCACCAAAAUAAUCGAAUACCAAAGGAUCUGGUAAACGCAUGAAAGGGGGAAAAGAGAAGGCAAUGGAACAACAAGAAAAGAAACAGAGACAGUGUAAAAGUUGUGGUCAUUUGGCAUACCAUGAUAGUGGUAAUUGCCCUGCAAAGAUCUCUACUUAACCAAGGGUGUUCUGUUCAUCACUGUUUUGGCUCUAGCUGGUGGUGGUGGUGCUGCUGCUGCUGAUGUUGAUGUGGAGGCGGUGCUGCUGGUGUUGAUGUUGAUGUCUCACUUCUGAUAUCAGCUGCUCUCAUUUUUUCUGCUUUGGUCUAAUGCAGCUGUAGUUCAUUAGGAAGUUGCCAUAUGUAGCUGAUUUUGUUGGGGUAUUUUAACUGAGAACAAGUUUGUACAGAAAGUCUCCAUUGUUGAUUGUUUCAUUGACAGUGAUAUUGUUGUCUGGGAACAACAUAUUGAUUUUUUGUGUUGCUUACUGUUAUCAUACUUCCCAUUAAUCUCUUCGGAGGAGACAAGUUUUUAAUUU